rnacentral:rRNA from 1 species
UACGUAGGGUGCGAGCGUUAAUCGGAAUUACUGGGCGUAAAGCGUGCGCAGGCGGUUUUGUAAGUCUGACGUGAAAUCCCCGGGCUUAACCUGGGAAUUGCGUUGGAGACUGCAAGGCUGGAGUCUGGCAGAGGGGGGUAGAAUUCCACGUGUAGCAGUGAAAUGCGUAGAGAUGUGGAGGAACACCGAUGGCGAAGGCAGCCCCCUGGGUCAAGACUGACGCUCAUGCACGAAAGGCGUGGGGAGC